rnacentral:tRNA from 1 species
GUCCCUGUAGCGCAAUGGAUAACGCGUUGGGCUGCUGAUCCAAAGGGCGUGGGUUCGAAUCCCACCUGAAAUG